ensembl:lncRNA
GAUUGUUGUUGCUGCUUCUCCAUGUUAACAACCGCUGAUAGUUACUGUGGUUUUCUUGUUUUCCGUUGUGCUUUCUUAUCCUUUCGCUUAUCAGCAGUAUUAAAGCCAAAGGACACUUAGGAAAACUAGAAGGUCUUCAUGUAUGUAAAGGAUUUGAAAUAGCUCAACUGGAAUUCCAUCACCUCCACUAGCUUUGUUCAUAGUGAUGCUUCCUAAGGCCUACUUGACUUCACAUUCCAGGAUUUCUGGCUCUAGGUGAGUAAUCACACCAUCAUGAUUAUCUGGGUUGUGAAGAUCUUUUUUGUACAGUUCUUCUGUGUAUUCUUGCCACCUCUUCUUAAUAUCUUCUGCUUCUGUUAGGUCCAUACCAUAUCUGUCCCUUAUUGAGCCCAUCUUUGCAUGAAUUGUUCCCUUGGUAUCUCUAAUUUUCUUGAAGGGAUCUCUAAUCUUUCCCAUUUUAUUAUUUUCCUCUAUUUCUUUGCACUGAUCACUGAGGAAGGUUUUCUUAUCUCUCCUUACUAUUAUUUGGAACUCUGCAUUCAAAUGGGUAUGUCUUUCCUUUUGCAUAUAAUUAAAGCUAUGGUUUUUCCUGUAGUCACGCAGAUAUGAGAGUUGGACCAUAGAGAAAGCUAACCAAAGAAGUAAUGCCUUCAAACUGUGAUGCUGGAGAAGACUCUUUAACAGUCUUUUGGACAGCAAGGAGAUCAAAGCAGUCAGUGCUAAAGGAAAUCAAUCCUGAAGAAUCAUUGGAAGAACUUAUGUUGAAGCUCCAAUACGUCAGCCACCUGAUUCAAAGAGCUUAUUCAUUGGAGAAGACCCUGAUGUUGAGAAAGAUUGAAGGCAAAGGAGAAGGGGGCGGCAGAGGAUGAGAUGGUUAGAUAGCAUCACCAACUCAGAGUACAUGAAUUUGAGCAAACUCCAAUAGAUAGUGGAGAACAGAGGAGCCUGGCAUGCUGCAGUCCAUGGGGUUGCAGAGUUGGACACAACUUAGAAGCUGAACAGUAGCAUGG